AACGCACAUUGCGCCCCUUGGUAUUCCGAGGGGCAUGCCUGUUCGAGCGUCAUUUCAACCCCUCAAGCUUCGGCUUGGUGUUGGGCCGCGCCGCUGCACCAGCAGCUGGCGGGCCUCAAAAUCAGUGGCGGUGCCGUCUUGGCUCUAAGCGUAGUAACAUCUCUCGCUCUGGAGACCUGGCGGUUGCUUGCCAGACAACCCCCAACUUUCUUAAGGUUUGACCUCGGAUCAGGUAGGGAUACCCGCUGAACUUAA
rnacentral:misc_RNA from 1 species